GACGAACGCUGGCGGCGUGCUUAACACAUGCAAGUCGAACGGAAAGGCCCUGCUUUUGUUUCGUUCUCGUUUGCCGAACGGGUGAGUAACACGUGAGUAACCUCCCCUUGUCUUUGUGAUAACUUCUGGAAACUCGGGCUAUUACCCGACAUAAUCUCCUGCUCCAUGUUGUUCGUUGGUAAGUUUCGGCGGUUGUGUCUGGUCUCGCGGCUUACCAGCUUGUUUGUCUGGUAGUGACUUUCCAAGGCUUUGACGGAUAGCCUGCCUGAGAGGGUUAACGGCGACAUUGGGACUGAGAUAGGGACCAGAAUGCUACGGGAGGCAGCAGUGGGGAAUAUUGCACAAUGGGCGGAAGCCUGAUGCAGAAACGCCGCGUGCGGGAUGACGGCUUACGGGUUGUAAACAGAUUUGGAAUGUGACGAAGCGUGAGUGACGGUAAUGGGUAAAGAAGCAACGGCUAACUACGUG
rnacentral:rRNA from 1 species